rnacentral:rRNA from 1 species
CCUACGGGUGGCAGCAGUGGGGAAUAUUGGGCAAUGGGCGCAAGCCUGACCCAGCAACGCCGCGUGAAGGAAGAAGGCUUUCGGGUUGUAAACUUCUUUUCGCAGGGACGAAGCAAGUGACGGUACCUGAGGAAUAAGCCACGGCUAACUCCGGGCCAGCAGCCGCGGGAAUACGUAGGUGGCAAGCGUUAUCCGGAUUUACUGGGUGUAACGGGCGGGUAGGCGGGACUGCAAGUCAGAUGUGAAAACCACGGGCUCAACCUGUGGCCUGCAUUUGAAACGGUAGUUCUUGAGUACUGGUGAGGCAGCCGGAAUUCCUAGUGUAGCGGUGACAUGCGUAGAUAUUAGGAGGAACCCCAGUUGCGAAGGCGGUCUGCUGGACAGCAACUGACGCUGAGGCGCGAAAGCGUGCGGAGCAAACAGGAUUAGCUACCCUGGUAGUC